rnacentral:lncRNA from 1 species
UAUCUCAUAAUAUAUUUUUUAAUAUAUUGUAUUUAAUUUAGAAAAAAAUCAAUAUAGGUAAAAUAUGAUAGGCAUUGUCGAUGCUCGAGGGAAACUAUUAUCUUAGCAGAAAAACGAACGAUAUCAUGGAAACGAAUACAUAAAAAUUAAAAAUAAGUAGAAAAACGUACAAUAGAAAAAGAAAGGAACGUUCGAACGAAUCGCAAUCAUUAUUGAGUCUUCGAUAUUUUCACAAAGAGAGGUUUAAACUCGUGUGAGAAAACACGUACUACGGCUUGUCGUAAAAUAAUCCCCUAUACCGGCUUAUUGAUCAGAUCACAAGUCGUUGAAGCACACAAACCCUCCCCUUUAGUCCACCCCUCUUUUCCGCCGUUGCCGCCGCCUCCUUGCCACAGGGAACAGGGCAUUUUUAUUCGUGCAGUUUCACCCCCGUCAUUCCUUCCACUUCGGCCUUCCCUAUACCCCUCCUGUCUCUCGCUUGGCGACACGGGGGUGGUAAAGUCGUGGGAGCGCCAUUUUUUAUUUUACCUACGUCGAGCUACAGUCGCAUGGAGAUUCAUUAAUAACAAGCUGCCGCGGUUCCUACGAGGAUUAGAGACAGAAUGGGGAAACAGGAGUGACGGAGUGAUAGAAAAAGAGAAAUGUCUGUUCAAAUCAAUUUUCCGACGAAUAUCGGAGGAAAUAUAGAAGAAAAUGGCACGGAGGACAGCAACUAACCCUUUUAUCAAGUAAGAGAGAGUGGAAAGAAGGAAGGAAGGAAGGAAGGAAGGAAGAUGGUCGUCGCGACGAAGGGUCGGUCAGAUUUAGCGAAGGGCUUUUCGUUGGUGAGUUUAACAGACUUUUGCUGGUCGACGUGUAUCGAGGGGUUGGGGGGUAGUGGAAGGAGCUGGUUUAGCGAGUUACGAGCAAUUGCCCACUUCUAUUCUGCGCCAUUGCUUCCUUCUUUAACCGACCAGUCACCUUCUCUCAUCGAGAGGCAAACCACCUCUUAGUUUCGAGGGGGCUACGAGGGUUGUGGUUGAUAGAAACUGAUGAAAAUUGCGUGAUUAACCGAGACCAUCUCCCCGACUCAUCAACACGCUCCCGCGACCACAAGGAUCGGAAUGCCUUCGGGUUAUUUAGUGACGGACAAUCCCGAAAGACCAUGGAAGCAUUCUCUCCUAUUCUCUUCCUUCCACUCGAUACUCAGAGAGAGAGAGAGAGAGAGAGAGAGAGAGAGAAAGAGAGAGAGAGAGAGAGAGAGAGAGAGAGAGAAAGAGAGAGAGAGAGAGAGAGUACACGAUUUCUUAAAAGCAGUUCAAUAUCCCAAUUGGUUUCAAUGGAUCAAAUGACCUGUUUACUGUUUUAUCUUUGGCAAUGCUUACUAUUGGACCAGUAAGUAUAUUGAAAGAUCGCGUUUGCCGAAGGUUUGGAGAUUUGUUGAAACAAGAACAAUGUGAGAACUAUUGUGUUUCUUUUUCCUUUUAUUGUAUUCAUUUUUCUUUGAUUUAUAAUAUUUGUAAACGAUUAUUUCUUUAUUAAUAAAGAAUAUAUUAUAUAUUAUGUAAAGUCUAAGUAAAGAAAGUUUGUCUCGUAUUUAUCUACAUUUGUAUAUUAUUUAUCUCUAUUGAUUAAAAUGGCACGAACUUUCUUGAUUAUCUAA